rnacentral:tRNA from 1 species
GGUGGUAUAGUAUAGUGGAUAGUACAACACGUUGUGGUCACUUACUGAUACCGUGUAGACCUGGGUUCGAUUCCCAGUACCGCCA